rnacentral:rRNA from 1 species
UACGGGGGGGGGCAAGCGUUGUUCGGAAUUACUGGGCGUAAAGGGCUUGUAGGUGGCCAACUAAGUCAGACGUGAAAUCCCUCGGCUUAACCGGGGAACUGCGUCUGAUACUGGAUGGCUUGAGUUUGGGAGAGGGAUGCGGAAUUCCAGGUGUAGCGGUGAAAUGCGUAGAUAUCUGGAGGAACACCGGUGGCGAAGGCGGCAUCCUGGACCAAGACUGACACUGAAAAGCGAAAGCCAGGGAGCAAACGGG